CGUAGGGUGCGAGCGUUGUCCGGAAUUAUUGGGCGUAAAGAGCUCGUAGGCGGUGUGUCGCGUCGGUCGUGAAAACCUGCAGCUUAACUGUGGGCUUGCGGUCGAUACGGGCAUCACUGGAGUUCGGCAGGGGAGACUGGAAUUCCUGGUGUAGCGGUGAAAUGCGCAGAUAUCAGGAGGCACACCGGUGGCGAAGGCGGGUCUCUGGGCCGAUACUGACGCUGAGGAGCGAAAGCGUGGGGAGCAAAAGGG
rnacentral:rRNA from 1 species